AGCGCAGGCGGGUUGGCAAGUCCUUGGUGAAAUCCUGAGGCUUAACCUCAGGACUGCCAAUGAUACUGCCGAUCUUGAGUGCAGAAGAGGAAGACGGAAUUCCUGGUGUAGCGGUGAAAUGCGUAGAUAUCAGGAAGAACACCGGUGGCGAAGGCGGUCUUCUGGUCUGCAACUGACGCUCAUGCUCGAAAGCGUGGGGAGCAAACAGGAUUAGAUACCCUGGUAGUCCACGCCCUAAACGAUGGAUACUCGAUGUCGGGUCGCAAGGCCCGGUGUCCAAGCUAACGCGUUAAGUAUCCCACCUGGGGAGUACGAUCGCAAGGUUGAA
rnacentral:rRNA from 1 species